rnacentral:rRNA from 1 species
GACGAACGCUGGCGGCGUGCCUAAUACAUGCAAGUCGAACGCUGAAGGAGGAGCUUGCUCUUCUGGAUGAGUUGCGAACGGGUGAGUAACGCGUAGGUAACCUGCCUGGUAGCGGGGGAUAACUAUUGGAAACGAUAGCUAAUACCGCAUAACAGUAGAUGUUGCAUGACAUUUGCUUAAAAGGUGCAAUUGCACCACUACCAGAUGGACCUGCGUUGUAUUAGCUAGUUGGUGGGGUAACGGCUCACCAAGGCGACGAUACAUAGCCGACCUGAGAGGGGGAUCGGCCACACUGGGACUGAGACACGGCCCAGACUCCUACGGGAGGCAGCAGUAGGGAAUCUUCGGCAAUGGACGGAAGUCUGACCGAGCAACGCCGCGUGAGUGAAGAAGGUUUUCGGAUCGUAAAGCUCUGUUGUAAGAGAAGAACGAGUGUGAGAGUGGAAAGUUCACACUGUGACGGUAGCUUACCAGAAAGGGACGGCUAACUACGUG